rfam:Oryza barthii chromosome 7, whole genome shotgun sequence.
AAAAAGUCAAACCUUGGGUUUCCGUGUCCAACUUUGACUGUCCGUCUUAUAUGAAAUUUUUUUAUAAUUCGUAUUUUCAUUGUUGUUAGAUGAUAAAAUAUAAUUAAUAUUUUAUGUGUGACUUGUCUUUUUUAAUUUUUUUUAUAAAUUUUUUAAAUAAGACAGACGGUCAAACAUUGUAUACGGAAAUUAGGGUUUGUCUUUUU